rnacentral:rRNA from 1 species
GAUGAACGCUGGCGGCGUGCCUAAUACAUGCAAGUCGAGCGAACGGACGAGAAGCUUGCUUCUCUGAUGUUAGCGGCGGACGGGUGAGUAACACGUGGAUAACCUACCUAUAAGACUGGGAUAACUUCGGGAAACCGGAGCUAAUACCGGAUAAUAUUUUGAACCGCAUGGUUCAAAAGUGAAAGACGGUCUUGCUGUCACUUAUAGGUGGAUCCGCGCUGCAUUAGCUAGUUGGUAAGGUAACGGCUUACCAAGGCAACGAUGCAUAGCCGACCUGAGAGGGUGAUCAGCCACACUGGAACUGAGACACGGUCCAGACUCCUACGGGAGGCGGCAGUAGGGAAUCUUCCGCAAUGGGCGAAAGCCUGACGGAGCAACGCCGCGUGAGUGAUGGAGGUCUUCGGAUCGUAAAACUCUGUUAUUAGGGAAGAACAUAUGUGUAAGUAACUGUGCACAUCUUGACGUUACCUAAUCAGAAAGCCAGGGCUAACUACGUG